AGCGAACGCUGGCGGCAGGCCUAACACAUGCAAGUCGAGCGCCCCGCAAGGGGAGCGGCAGACGGGAGAGUAACACGUGGGAACGUGCCCUUCAGUUAGGAACAACCCAGGGAAACUUGGGCUAUAUCGGCUACGUCCGAAAGGAGAAAGAUGUAGCGCGGAAGGAUCGGCCCGCGUCUGAUUAGCUAGUUGGUGAGGUAACGGCUCACCAAGGCGACGAUCAGUAGCUGGUCUGAGAGGAUGAUCAGCCUCAUUGGGACGGAGACACGGCCCAAACUCCUACGGGAGGCAGCAGUGGGGAAUAUUGGACAAUGGGCGCAAGCCUGAUCCAGCCAUGCCGCGUGGAUGAUGAAGGCCCUAGGGUUGUAAAGUCCUUUCGACGGGGAAGAUAAUGACGGUACCCGUAGAAGAAGCCCCGGCUAACUUCGUGCCAGCCGCCGCAGUAA
rnacentral:rRNA from 1 species